rnacentral:rRNA from 1 species
AUACGUAGGUGACAAGCGUUAUCCGGAUUUACUGGGCGUAAAGGGCGUGUAGGCGGUCUUGCAAGUCAGAAGUGAAAUUCCUGAGCUCAACUCGGGCGCUGCUUCUGAAACUGCAGGACUUGAGUGCUGGAGGGGAUAGCGGAAUUCCUAGUGGAGCGGUAAAAUGCGCAGAUAUUAGGAAGAACACCGGUGGCGAAGGCGGCUAUCUGGACAGUAACUGACGCUGAGGCGCGAAAGCACGGGGAGCAAACAGGAUUAGAUACCCUGGUAGUCCGUGCCGUAAACGAUGAAUACUAGGUGUAGGGGGUAUCGACUCCCUCUGUGCCGCAGUUAACACAUUAAGUAUUCCACCUGGGGAGUACGGCCGCAAGGUUGAAACUCAAAGGAAUUGACGGGG